rnacentral:rRNA from 1 species
GCUUAGAAGCAGCCACUCAUUAAAAGAGUGCGUAAUAGCUCACUGGUCGAGUGACCCUGCGCCGAAAAUUUAACGGGGCUAAACUGUACACCGAAGCUUGGGAUACAUUUAAUGUAUGGUAGGAGAGCGUUGUAUGCGGGGUGAAGUCGCAGCGGAAGCGGCGGUGGACUGCAUAGAAGUGAGAAUGCCGGAAUGAGUAGCGAGAUUUAUGUGAGAAUCAUAAAGGCCGAAAGACUAAGGAUUCAGAAGGAAGGUUCGUCCGCUUCUGGUUAGCCGGGGGCUAAGGUGAGGCCGAAAGGCGUAGCCGAUGCACAUACGGUGGAGAUUCCGUAGCCGCCGAAACAUUUAAGUAAAGGGACACUUGAGAAGUUCAUAAGCCGGGCGUUGGUAGACCCGGUCGUAAGGGUGCGAAAUUAAGUAGCUGAAGUAUGAAUGGAACAAGGCGAGAAAAGCUUUACGGAAUAUGUUAGGCGCCCGUACCGCAAACCGACACAGGUAGUCAGGAAGAGAAUUCUAAGGCCAACGGGAGAAGGGUAGUUAAGGAACUCGGCAAAUUGACCCCGUAACUUCGGAAUAAGGGGUGCUCUCUACGGAGAGCCGCAGUGAAUAGGUCCAGGCGACUGUUUAUCAAAAACACAGGUCUCUGCUAAAUCGAAAGAUGACGUAUAGGGGCUGACACCUGCCCGGUGCUGGAAGGUUAAGAGGAGGAGUGAGAGCUCCGAAUUGAAGCCCCAGUAAACGGCGGCCGUAACUAUAACGGUCCUAAGGUAGCGAAAUUCCUUGUCGGGUAAGUUCCGACCCGCACGAAUGGUGUAACGAUCUGGACACUGUCUCAAUUACCCACCCGGCGAAAUUGUAGUACCGGUGAAGAUGCCGGUUACCCGCGGCAAGACGGAAAGACCCCAUGGAGCUUUACUGUAGCCUGAUAUUGGGUUUCGGUAUUUUAUGUACAGGAUAGGCGGGAGACUGAGAACCAUAUACGCCAGUAUAUGGGGAGUCGAUGUUGGGAUACCGCUGAAAGAGGCACGAGAAAAAGCAGGGCUAAACAUCAAGCAGUUGGCGGAACUUUUAGGAGCACCAUACAGGACUGUGCAAGAGUGGAAUGCUGGGAGGCAUCUACCGCCGACUUGGAUGACCAAGAUACUGGUGGAUGAAAUAGCUCGCCGAUCGGCGGAGUGAACAAGGAAGGUACUGCUUUAGAAUUAAGGAAUAGAGUUUUUUUGACGAUAUGUAUGGAAGGAAUGUUGCAAUAGUUUUUGUAUGCUAUUCUAUGCUAUACCAAAGGAGGAGAUUUUUAUGAAGGCUAAUCAUACGGCGGCAGAUAUUGCCAGAUGGUUUAUAAGUCACAACCAUGUAAAAGCCAUGCUCGAUGAAGCAGAUGAUAUAUCUAACUUAAAACUGCAGAAAUUGUUGUAUUAUGCCCAGGGAGCGGUAUUGGCUAUAACAGGCACUCCAUUGUUUAACGACGAUAUUGUUGCUUGGGAGCAUGGCCCGGUAGUGCCUGCAGUAUAUCAUUUGUACAAGCAUAAUGGU